rnacentral:misc_RNA from 1 species
AGCAGCCGCGGUAAUUCCAGCUCCAAUAGCGUAUAUUAAAGUUGCUGCAGUUAAAAAGCUCGUAGUUGAAUUUCGGGAUCAAUAUGUUGGUCGUGCCUCGGUACGUACUAGCUUAUUGGUUUCUUCCUUCUGACGAACCAUAAUGUCAUUUAUUUGGUGUUAUGGGGAAUCAGGACUGUUACUUUGAAAAAAUUAGAGUGUUUAAAGCAGGCUCACGCUUGAAUACAUUAGCAUGGAAUAAUGAAAUAGGACGUUUGAUUCUAUUUUGUUGGUUUCUAGGAUCGACGUAAUGAUUAAUAGGGAUAGUUGGGGGCAUUAGUAUUCAAUUGUCAGAGGUGAAAUUCUUGGAUUUAUUGAAAGACUAACUACUGCGAAAGCAUUUGCCAAGGAUGUUUUCAUUAAUCAAGAACGAAAGUUAGGGGAUCGAAGACGAUCAGAUACCGUCGUAGUCUUAACCAUAAACUAUGCCGACUAGGGAUCGGAUGAUGUUAAUUUUUAAUGUACUCAUUCGGCGCCUUAA